AUCCAGAUGACGAGUUCCAAAUAGGAUGAAAUGCACGUUAUCCUGGAU
rnacentral:hammerhead_ribozyme from 1 species